rnacentral:lncRNA from 1 species
GGUAGAAAUAUUACCUUUACCAUAGUAUGGCUUUUUGACGUGGCUGUCGCCGGCCUUCGGCUUCCUCUCCUCCCCGGGGAGCGGUCGUGGCGACUGGUCCUCGUAGGACCGCAUGCUGUCCCGCCUUCCAGCCUCCAGCGCCAUCUUCUCCCUCAUGGCCUUGGCCCGCUCCGUCUCCAGAGCGAUGGCCUUCUCCAGGAGGGUCAGGUUCCCCUUGGUCAUGUCGAACACCUCCUCGGACCGGUCCGAGUUCACAGAGGCCGCGUCGUCGUCCCCGCCGCGGUACCCGUCCUCCCUGGCACAGCUGGAGAAAGUUCUGGAGCGCGGGCUCAGCUGCUCCUCCAGCCGCAUCAGGUUCACCAUGUCGGAGUAGCUGCGGUCGGGCGUCCGGCCCGGGAAGUCAUCCUCCUGCCGGCCGAGCGGGCGGAGGCCGGGGUUGGGAGGUGCGGGCCGGUCCUGCGGAGCAGUCUCGCUCAGCUUGCGGGCCAGGUCGAAGCACUGGUUCCGCAGGCACUCCAGGCUGCUCAGACACGCCUCCUCAUCCCUCUCCUCCGCCAGCUUCUCGGCCAGCCCGCCGCCCGCCGGCUUGCCGAGCAUCACGUAGUUGAGGCUGCGCGCGUCCGGCGGCGCCAGCGGGUCGGCGUAGGCCCGGUCGGCGGCGCUGUCCGCCAGCACCACACCGUGGCCCUGGGCCAGCAGUUUCAGGGAGUCCACGGUCUCGCGGACCACGUCGCUGUCCAGGUCCAGGCUGAGCUCGGCCUUCCGGCCAAGGCCCUCGGGCUUGUCGCCCUCGUCCUCCAGGCUGUGGGAGGUGCUGCUGUUCAUCUCAGACUCGGUCCGGGCGCGGAAUGCGGCAUCCUCGGCGAUCUUGCCCAGGUUCAGAAGGGACUUGGCCACCAGCUCGUCAUAGUUGUCGUACUCGUCGUUGUCGUCGUCCUUCCCCACGUCCUGCGUGCCGCGAGGGUUGUGGCAGCUCCCCUGGCGGGCCUCUGCAAAGACAAUUAA